rnacentral:rRNA from 1 species
CGUGGGGUGACAGUUACCUAGCUCUAAAAUGAAAUUUAGUGUAAAAAUCAUUAAUAGUGAUAAUGAUUUUAAAUAGUCCUGUCAAAAUUUGGUGCCAGCAGAAGCGGUUAAACCAAGUGGACAAUCCAUCAGAGUUUUGAUUAGGUGUAAAGGGUACGUAGCUUGAUAUAAUUAAUCUAGAGUCAAAUGGAGGUAAGUUUAAUAUCUAGAGAAGGAGUUACAUCCUAUAAUACUAGAGGGAGAGCUAAUGGCGAAAGCAAUUUACCAAUUAAUGACUGACAGUAAGGUACGAAAGCUAAGGCAUGAAUAGGAAUUAGAUACUCCAGUACUCUUAGCUGUAAACGAUGCAAAUUAGAGAUUUUUAAAAAGUCUUUAUGUAAAUACGAUAAAUUUGCCACCUGUAUAGUAUAGUCCCAUGACUGAAAUACAAAUAAUAGACGGUCUAGAAAUCGACUAUCU